UCCGUCAGAUACAAAAGCUCUUAAGCAAAACCAAUGGGAAAGUAGUUAGUGAUGUUAUGACUUCUGCACCUCUUGUGGUGCGUGAAACUACUAACCUUGAAGAUGCUGCAUGGUUACUUCUUGUUACUAAAUACCGCAGGGCUGCCAGUAGUCGACAAUUCGGGCAAAUUGGUUGGAAUCAUCACAAGAGGGAACGUCGUCAGAGCUGCUCUUGAGUUUAAGAAAAAUGUUGAAGGGAGUCUUUGAAGUGGAACUGUAGAUGAUCCUUUCCGAAGGUGGAACUUGAACAUAUUGCUAGUAGGCAAGCGUACUGAAAAAACUGUUGCAGCAAUUAGCAAACUUAUCCAUGUUUACACAACAUGCUAGUUUAAUUACAGUUGGGAUAUAUGUACUGUCACAGCCCUAGAAUUCUUUUAGCUCCAAUAAUUAUUUU